CUGAGGGGAGACACCAUUAAUGUGUAUAAAUAUCUGAGGGGAGGGUGUGGAGAGGAUGGAGCCGGUCUCUUUUCAGUUGUGCCCAGUGACAGGAUGAGAGGCAAUGGGCACAAACAGAUGCACAGGAUGUUCUGACUGAAUAUGAGAGGACACUUCUUUACUGUGAGGGUGACAGAGCACUGGAACAGGUUGCCCAGAGAGGCUGUGGAGACUCCUUCUCUGGAGAUACUCACAACCUGCCUGGAUGCCAUCCUGCACAAUGUGCUCUAGGUGGUCCUGCUCGGCAGGUUCAUUGGACUAUAUGAUUUUCAGAGGUCCCUUCCAACUCUGCCCAUUCUCCCAUUCUGUGAUUCUGUGAUUCUAGCAUGUCUGGUUUAUUUGACUCUCCAUAUAAUUACUCAAGCCAAUACCUCACAUUAGCUGUCACAGUCAGCACUGUUAUUUCAGGCUUCCAUUCAGAUUUAAACUAAGAAUCAAGAAUAUACAGUUCUACAAUUGAGUAAUUGAAAAGAUCCCAUAUCUAUUGACAUGCAAGUAUACUUUAAGAUGCUUCCAAGCACCUAUCUCUUAAGAUCAUGUGUUUCUGUGAUACAUGCACUGGGUGUCUGGCAUUGGCCUACAAGACUCUCUGACAGGUUAAUAUGCAUAUAGAUUAAAUCUGUAAGAAACCGGAGAACUUACAGAUUUAUAAAUAUAGGUAUUAAUAUAUGAUGUAUAAAUUGCGGACCUGUAGAGUUACUAUACCCCUAUACCCUGUUGUAUGUAUUUUCAGCUGCUGCUCCACUCAGAAGUGUCACAGGGGAAAGGAUGCUGUCAUAAAUCACUACGAAAUGGUGUUGAAUUCUAUUUACACCGCACGCAGUUGCAGAAAGGUUACAUGUCUGUCUUUAUCCUGCCUGUCUUCUACCCUUUGCGGGAAUGAAGUGGCCACUGAGAAGAUGAGCAAGAAAGUGUGAGUAUUUGUUAUACAUCUGCCCAAUACCCAUGUCCUUUCAGCAAAUGUUUCAUCUCCUUUUAAAUAUUUUAUAUUUCUUUUGUGUUUUGUUUUUUUUUUUUUUUUUAUGAUCUGAAUAUUUCUUUUUAUAUACCUGAGAAAUCAACUUUUAUGAGAUCAAUUAUGAAGCAAAGUAUAUGAAUUCAAUGACAGAAGAUGAUAUUCACGAUUACAUGAACUUAUGUCUGCUAAGAGAUAACUUUUUGAUUUCCAGGAAAAACAUAUUCAGAUCUCGGAAAGCAAGAAACUGAAAGAACCAACAUCAUUUCAACCCCAUAUAGAUAGUACUUGCCAGUGGGAACAACGCCGAAGUUACAUGCGGUUUGUCAGAUAGCGUGGUGCUUGGCACAAAAAAAAAUAGCUGUGCUUGGCACAGCUUGGUUGAAUUGGGACUAUUAGAAGAGGUAAUUUGAAAGUCCAGUGCCCGUCAUGACUGCAUUACUGAGGUUGUGUGGCACAGGCCCUGUUGCUGAGUACCAUGCUAUGUGAUCUUAAUGGUGACUAAAAGGAAGAAGUAUAGGUGACAGCUUUCACAGGGGAGUGGUUGCACAAUUUUACCUUUCUUUUUUCUUAUUUUUUUCUUUUUUUCUUUUUAUUUUUUAAAUUAUUAUUAUUAUUUUUCCUAUGGAAUGUGGCAAAUGUCCUAUUCGGGAUGUCUGAAAGGUACAGCUCACGUCAGUGUUUUCUGAGUGUAUCAGAGCUCAGGCCAAAUGGAGACUUCAUGAUGUCUGUGUGAAGGCAUUGGCAGUUUGAUUUUGGCUAAGGUUUAACAGUUUUGAGAUAAAAGAUCAUAAAGAAGGAGAAUAAACUCGGUUUAAAAUAGAGGAGCUCA
rnacentral:lncRNA from 1 species